ensembl:lncRNA
AGUGAGGCAAAUGGCGUUUAUUCACUACUAAACACAGCUUAUAUACAUUUUUACCUAGAUAACCGUGCUGUCAUGUCCCACUCUGAUUAGUUCACACCAGAUAACAUUGUGCCUUAUUUGGCCAUUUCCACAUUCUUUUAUCAUCCUUCUUCUUCUCCUGUUUUCUCUGCAACAAGGUCAGCACGAUAGCACUAUCUCUCUAUGUUUAGGGAGAGGCCUGUCCCGUACAUCCCGUGCCCCCGCAAGACGCCUACUACAACAUCUCCCCCUCCCUAAGCUAAACACUACUUACACACACACCUAACCCGUACAUCGCGAAGCAGCGCAAAACGCCUAAUCCUAAAUAUAUUUCAGCACACUAUUCCUACUAUUUUCUACUACAGUUCUUAAGCAAUCAUCAGAGCAACAGGGAAUUCUUUUCCGUGCUCGGCCAAGCCUUGCCCCGUUACAGCACGAACGCAACAACCUAAACCCCUCUAUAAUUUUUCACGCAAUCUAUGAUACUCAAUGUGAUAGUCAAAAGUCUUGUCCAUCAUUCGUUGAAGGCAGUUCUGCAAGCAUCCUACAAAGCAUGGAAGACAGAUUAGAAUACACACAAAGAUUGCAAAUCCUACUGCGAGAGCUUUAAGCAAUUGCUUUAACCAUGAACCCGUUCCCCCAAACAGUCCGUCCAGCCAGCUUCCAAAGGGAUCACGCUCUUCUUUAAUUUUCUGCAGAUGUUCUUGCGUCCAUUGUAGUUGUUUGUGACACUCUGUAAUCGCCAUGGACACCAUAAAUAUCAGCAACAUCGGAAGUGUCAGCGUUGCAGGUGUAGUGCUCCUCUUGACGAGUGGUUCUUGAUCCCAUCGUCUGUCCCUCAGUUGUUCUGGAGUUGGCUUCGGUCUGCCAACGAAGAAUUUCUGUAGAAAACUCGCACCUAGACUCAGUUUUUGCAGAUAUGCUACUUAUAUCUGGUAUUACUUUUCACGAUGGUACCCACAGAAUUUCCCAGAUUCAUGAUAUUUAACUGCUGCAUACCCGACCACGGAUACCCUUUAGCAAGCCCUUCCUGUGAUCAGGAGGCCCUGACUGGCCUCCCCCACAGGGGCAUUGUGCUCUAACAUGGCCAUACUGGCCGUAUGGAAACACAGCCCUUGCUGCUGCAGCGAUCUUUGCUGUCGCAGGCCAACAGCUACGACAAUAGCUGUGACUAGCCUUUCAUUAGUUAAAUGAGCCACCUUGAGCUUAUCUAAGACAUACUGAAUAACUUCUCCCGAGGUAUUAAGCGUACUUCGGCCGGCUCGCAGCAAUGCCUUAACAUUGUCAUGCGAUUUCUGCUGCAAGCAGUCAAUGAUCACUGGCCCUUGGGCCGGUACCAGGAGAUCAGACCCCUCUGCAGCAGCUAAAAGCCUGUCUGUAAAGCUUUGAAAGGAUUCAUUCGGGCCCUGGGUAAUAUCUGUGCACGGAGUAGGUGGUUCGGCCUUAUGCACAAGUUUAUUAAACGCUUCCACCACUGCAUCUGUGGCUGCUAUUAGCUCCCCUGGCCUUAGUCUCGCUAGCUGGCCCUGGGGCGAAGCCACUCCCACGGCCUUCCCUGAAAGCCGCUGUAUUCCGGUCCCAUGCAGGGAGCGGCGCGGGCUGACCCCUGUCGCCCCGGCACGGCCCCCCAAUUCGGCCACCCAGUCCGUCUCCCAUAACGUAUAUUGAACCAGCCUGAGCACCAUACGCAUUAAGUUUGUGAUGUCACGGGGGAAGAGAGGCCCCAGUGCAGCCAAAGUUUGUAGUGCAUUUAAUGUCAGAGGCGAUUUCAGGCCUCUUUUAUCCAUAAAUUCCACCAGGCGCGUAACACCCCCGGGGUCAGGCGGCACCCAUUCGGGACCACGAUCACUCACAAUCACCCGGAAUGCCUCUGGAACUAUACCCUUUCCCAAAGCCUCCGAUCUAAUCCCAUUCCAGUCUGUCAUUUGAUCCCUCCCCCUGCACUCAGAGCCAGUCCCUUCUUUCUCUUCUACACUAUCACUCGCACUACCGCCCCCGGGAGUGACCAGAGACAGUAGGCUAUGCCCCCUGUCCGCAUUGGACGGACCUUUUGUCUGGUCCCUCCCCAUGUGGGCACUAAGUUGAUCCUGCCCGUGUAGAUCACAGCUUCCUCCGCCCCCUUGAGUCAGGUAACACUGACGUAAUUCUGAUAAAGGAUACAACGUUCCGCCUGAGGGGUUCGGAUACGGGGGAGGGGGACGAGACAACAAACUUUCACUCUCUUGUUGUUUGUCUUCUUUUGAACUGAGCGCGGUCGGCUCAGCCGGCGCCAUCCCGCCAACGGUCAUUGGCGGCUCCGUCUCCUCUCGGCCCCUGCAAGAAACUGCUCCCGAACCCCCAUCGGACCCGACCGGGUCCUGUGUCUCACCUCCUCCGCUGAGACCCAAAAGGUAUCGAGCCUCUGCCAAUACCUUUCCCUCAACUCUGGCCGCUUUAAGGGCUCCUAAUAUCAGUCCCCACGUUUUAAGUUCCGUAGCCUUCUGACUGGCCAUGGCGCGCUGGCAUAGCACCGAGGUGAGCAAGUCCCACCUACUCGAAUCCAAAACGUAGCGGGGAGAGUCCAGCUCCCCCAGCUCAUUUAACAGCGACAAAACUGCCGCGAUCUCCUUCCGGGAAGGAGUAGAUUUUCCACAGUAGUCCUUACAAAACUGCACAAGUACCUUAAUGACUUGGUCCAUUGUUACGUAUGCGACCUGCCGCCACCUCGCAGGCUCUUAACCGCAAUACGUCUUCCGUGCGCGACCUGCCGCCACCUCACAGGCUCUUCUCCGCGUCACGGGCACGCCGGGCAGCCACCCUCAGCAGACAGAUCACGUCGGGGUCACCACUUGUUGCAUGUAGUCUCCGUUCGCUCGUCCGGUGUUCGUCCUCUGUCCACAUGUAGGGCUUACUGCUGGGCGAAACCGACCCUUUACCAGGUCGGGGCCAGAUGCUCACCCAGACCCCAGGAGUAAGUGAGGCAAAUGGCGUUUAUUCACUACUAAACACAGCUUAUAUACAUUUUUACCUAGAUAACCGUGCUGUCAUGUCCCACUCUGAUUAGUUCACACCAGAUAACAUUGUGCCUUAUUUGGCCAUUUCCACAUUCUUUUAUCAUCCUUCUUCUUCUCCUGUUUUCUCUGCAACAAGGUCAGCACGAUAGCACUAUCUCUCUAUGUUUAGGGAGAGGCCUGUCCCGUACAUCCCGUGCCCCCGCAAGACGCCUACUACAACA